rnacentral:lncRNA from 1 species
CUUGUGCCACGGUGGCCCAAAUGUCAGUCAACCAGACAUGUCUUCUGAGAGUUCCCAGGAAUGUGGUGAAGAGCAACUGUAAGCGAUAAGAUUGUUCCCAGCGCUAAUAAAACUUUGGAGUUAAUUAACUGAGAAGAAGGUAAAAUGAAAUGUUGUUAUGAGGGCUAAAGUUGUUUUUCUACCUUUUUGAAAAUUAUUUUUUAUCUGUUGAAAUUAUAAUAUAAUUAUCAUCUCUCCUUCUUUUUGCUCCCCUCUCAGAAAUUAACAGCCUUGAGUUGCAGGUGGAAGGUGCAGAAGCCAAAUUAAAAACAGUCUUUUCAGGCUGAGCUCAGGAGCCUGAAUUUCCAUGCUGUAAGUGGCUGGGAUCCACUGGAGGAUUUUAAUUGUGUAAGUUGACAAGAUCAGAUUUGCUAUUCAGAAAGCACACCCUGGCACAGAUCGGUGGGUGGAAUAGAAAGUGGUUGCCCUGGAGACAGGCAGACCCAUUAGGAAGCUCUGACAAAGAUCCAGGAGAGAGAAAAUGAGGAUAGUGGUUGGAGGAAUGAGCAGAUUCAAAGACAUUUUAGAGGUGGAACGGAUGGUCGGGAGACGCUCAUUCAGUGUAAAUGCUGAAGGAAAGGAAGAACCAAGGAGCGCUGUGGUUUCCAGCUUGGAUUUCUAUAUGGAUAGUGAAUAAUUAAUGAAGAUGUGGCGGGCGGGCAUAAUGGGGACUUAAGAGGGAGGUAGUUGUAGAUGGACGUGAUCAAUAUACAUUUGUUUAAAUGUGUAUAACUUUCAAAGAGUAAGAGAAUUAUUAUUUUAAUAGAUCAAGGUAUAAAAUACAAAAAAAAGUCAAAUGGGGGGGGGGGUUUGCUAAUGAAUUCAUAUGUGACCUGUUGAAUUUGAUGUAUCUUUUGGACUUGUAGGUGAAGAAGUCACAUGUGGUGAAUAUAUUAUCAUCAGAAUGCGGAGCAAUGAAAUGUAAACAGAUAGGAAUCGUCACUAAAGCUCCAACUGCAGCCUCCGGGUGCCAUAGCUUUUGCACCAUCCAUUUGCACCAUCUCUGCAUUGCUCUCAAUCACUGCCACGAGUCUGGUGAUGCGCUAAGCUCGGGGCAGGAUCUCAAGGGCUUUGAGGUAAAUAAGGUACCCUCUGUGGGCUCUGUUUCAAUUAGAUGCUAGAGCAAUUGUCAUCAUUUUAGAGAACAAAGAUACUGUGAUCGAAAACCGUGAAGGCUGCUGUCUAUGUCAUGCUUGUCCCUAGUUUACAUGCAUUUUCCAGAUAACCAAAUCCAAUAAGCCCUGAGUGCACCCUGAUCCCCUCUCCACUCCCGUGUCAGCUCCAAAUGGAUGGAAGAUGACAGGAAGGAACUAGCUGGGACACAGAGCAAAACUUCUAGAGUUAAUGAGACAGUAACUCUCAUCUUAGUUCCUGAUGACUAGGAGCAUAUGAUUUUCCUGAGGGACCUGUUAAACAAGUCCCAUCUCUCUUGAGUUUCAGCUUACAUAGCCAGAAAAUAAAUCCUUUCCCUGUUCCAAGCAAAGUACUAGGACAUCUUGCUUCUCUUGCCUCUACAGACAGCAAGAUGACUUCAUGGCUUUCUCUUUCACCACAGUCACUGGUGCUCAGUACAAAUGAGACUCACCUUAGAAAGAAAGAAAAGAAAGAAAGAAAGAGAAAAAGAGGGG